rnacentral:lncRNA from 1 species
GUCAUUUGUCUCUACCUCUACCUCUACCUCUUAUCUGUAGCAACUCAUGAAAUAAAUAUAAAGUGGACUUAGCACAAGUCCUUUCUUCAAGGGCCAUUCUGUUUUUAGUUCUUGCAUGCUUAGCAUUUUGUUAUUAGCCUACUACUGUUUUCUAUAUACUUCUACUUGUUUCUGCACAUAGGUAUAUCUAUUUUGCAAUUAAUACUUCAAUUUUUACAACUUUUGUCACAGAAACAUGCCGUGCUUAGAAAAUUAAAAAUACAGUCUUACUUGAAGUGCUUCAAUAGGAUGAUGUGCAAAUGCCUCAUAAGUAGGGCUCUGGACAUACAUACUGCUCUUAGCACAAAGUUGUGAUAAUUCAACAACUUGAACAUAAAUCACGAUGAAAUGUAUUGAAAGUGUCCUAUUUGAACAAAUCAUUUAUGCUAAUUUGUGACAUUUUAGCUUUGUUGAGAUUGGAGGGAGACCCUUGGUGUCAUGCCCUGAACUCAAAAUCCGGAUCGGAUACGUGAUGGCCGCACACUUCUUAGAGCAAGCCCUAAAGAAUAUGCAAGACCAAAAGUAAUUCAUUACAACCUCAACAUCCAUAAUAUCUAAUUCCAAUAAUAAUUAGUAAAACUUGUAUAAUUACAAUUAAAAUUUUUUCUAUCUUCUGAUCGAAUAUCAUGACACUCUAUCUAUGCAUUUGCUCACCCGCAAAUCUAUACCACAGCCAAUCAUGAGCAUCCUGUAACUUUGAGAAAAAAAGAAAGAUGAAGGGAUAUGAGCUUUACAGCCCAGUAAGAAUUUCUAUAUCACACUAAUAUAAUAAUAUAAUUUAAAAAUAAGGAUAAGUAAUUAAACAUAAAAUUUUAUAUUCAAUAUCCGGAAUAAUGCAAACAUCUAUAAUUUAUCUUCGUUGUCAAAAGAGAUGUAUCAUCAUAUGUUAAUUGGUGAAAUACUUUUGUUCAAUAAUUAUUUUAUGUCUUGUCUUUCCUCUCUCUUUUCAUUAUCACAUAAUCUUUAAUCUUUUUUUUCUGGCUUUGGACUAACCAACACUAUGCCUCAAUUUUCAUCCGAUCAAAUUUUCACUCAUAAGCCUCUCAAGGCUGUCCCAAGCACAAGCUUCUGACGGACUGUCCCAAGCAUAAGCUCCUGAUCGGCUGAUCCAUAUAUAAGCUCAUGGGACUGUCCCAGGCAUAAACUCCCGACGGGCUGUCCCAGGCAUAAGCUCCUGGCCGGCUAAUCCACAUAUAAGCUCAUGGGGCUGUCCCACGCAUAAGCUCUUGGCAGACUGUCCCAGGCAUAAGCUCCUAGCAAGCUGUCCCAAACAUAAGCUCCUCGCAGACUUUUUCAGACAUAAGCUCCUGGUCAGCUGUCCCAGACAUAAGCUCCUGGCGGACUGUUCCACAUGACAAGACUAGUCCAAAUCAUAUUUCUUUUUCAUUUAAUCAUUAUAUGUUGAUUUCACCAAAUCAAUUUCGAUUUACACUGUGAUCAAAUUAGAUAUGUCAUAUCCAUACAAUCAUUGAUACAUAUGUAUUGACAUAAUACACUCAUGCUCAAAAAUCAUAUAAGCAAUAUAACGGUGUCUCAAGUAUAGCAAUUCAUCAAUCUCAAAUCCAACGAAACAAAAUCAAUGAUGCAAGACCAACGAUAAAAUAGCAUAUAUAAUGGUGAUCAUAUACAGAGAUUCUCAUCUCUAUCGAUGAUCGAUCUAAAAGUAGAAUUCGAUGGGCUCCUCAAUCUACGAAUUCGAAAUUAAGAUAUUUUGCUCCAUAUCUUCUUAUACAACAAUUACAUCUCUACAUGAUCAGGAUUAAAUAUAAAAAUUAUAUAUGAAAAAAUUACGGAUAAACAAUCCUAAUAACACAAAUCCAGGACCUCUCCUAGGAUUAACCAAAAUUAAGAUUCAUUUGAAUAUCUGGACCCUCCAUUAGUCCACAAAAUUUUUAGAAAGAGAAAAUUCAUGAAGAGAGAGAAAAUUUUAGAGAGAGAAAGUAGAGAAAAAAAUAGAGAGAGAAUCUUCGUAUCUUUCAAAUAAGACAAUCAUGAUCGAGAUCAUUAGAGGUCAUAUCAGGAUGACUCAAUAUGAAUUAACUAUAAUCAGAUGCUAUGAAUUUCGAAUAAUGACCAGAUCGGGAUCUAAUCUACUGCAUGAAUUUCGGAGCAAGCUCAGGUCAUAUAAUUUUCAUCUCAAGUUUAUCCUAAAAUUCAUGAUGCAAUCAGAGAGAGAGAAAGAUCUUAGAGAGACAAAAUCCAUAAAGAGAGAGAAAGUUCUAGAGAGAGAAAAUAAAGAGAAAAUCUAGAGAGAGAAGAUGGAGAGAGAAGGUAAAGAGAGGAGAGAGAAAAGAGAGAGAAAGGAGGGAGA